UACGUAGGGUGCGAGCGUUGUCCGGAAUUAUUGGGCGUAAAGGGCUCGUAGGCGGUUUGUCGCGUCGGCUGUGAAAUCCCGAGGCUCAACCUCGGGUCUGCAGUCGAUACGGGCGGACUGGAGUUCGGCAGGGGAGACUGGAAUUCCUGGUGUAGCGGUGAAAUGCGCAGAUAUCAGGAGGAACACCGGUGGCGAAGGCGGGUCUCUGGGCCGAUACUGACGCUGAGGAGCGAAAGCGUGGGGAGCGAACAGG
rnacentral:rRNA from 1 species